AAACUUAGGUUACCUUAAACCAAGGGCCUUCAAAGCCCUAAACAGGAGCCUAGUCUCUG
rnacentral:tRNA from 1 species